GGCCUCGUAGCUCAGUUGGCUAGAGCGUUGGCUGUUUUAAAGCCUUCCCCUUGCUGGCGUGGGUUCAAAUCCCACCAAGGCCA
rnacentral:tRNA from 1 species